AGAGCAGCAGCGCGCAAUUACCCACUCCCGGCACGGGGAGGUAGUGACGAAAAAUAACGAUACGGGACUCAUCCGAGGCCCCGUAAUCGGAAUGAGUACACUUUAAAACCUUUAACGAGUAUCCAUUGGAGGGCAAGUCUGGUGCCAGCAGCCGCGGUAAUUCCAGCUCCAAUAGCGUAUAUUAAAGUUGUUGCGGUUAAAAAGCUCGUAGUUGGAUUUGUGUCCCACGCUGUCGGUUCACCGUUCGUCGGUGUUUAACUGGCAUGCCUGUGCGGACGUCCUGCCGGUGGAUGCGGUCGGCCGUGGGCCUCUGGUCUGCGCGUCGGCGGUCCGAUUCAAUCCUACCGCGGUGCUCUUCACCGAGUGUCGAGGUGGGCCGGCACGUUUACUUUGAACAAAUUAGAGUGCUCAAAGCAGGCAGUGGUUCGCCUGAAUAUUGUGUGCAUGGAAUAAUGGAAUAGGACCUCGGUUCUAUUUUGUUGGUUUUCGGAACUUGAGGUAAUGAUUAAUAGGGACAGACGGGGGCAUUCGUAUUGCGACGUUAGAGGUGAAAUUCUUGGAUCGUCGCANGACGAACCUAAGCGAAAGCAUUUGCCACGAGUGUUUUCAUUAAUCAAGAACGAAAGUUAGAGGUUCGAAGGCGAUCAGAUACCGCCCUAGUUCUAACCAUAAACGAUGCCAGCUAGCGAUCCGCCGAAGUUCCUCCGAUGACUCGGCGGGCAGCUUCCGGGAAACCAAAGCUUUUGGGUUCCGGGGGAAGUAUGGUUGCAAAGCUGAAACUUAAAGGAAUUGACGGAAGGGCACCACCAGGAGUGGAGCCUGCGGCUUAAUUUGACUCAACACGGGAAACCUCACCAGGCCCGGACACCGGAAGGAUUGACAGAUUGAGAGCUCUUUCUUGAUUCGGUGGGUGGUGGUGCAUGGCCGUUCUUAGUUGGUGGAGCGAUUUGUCUGGU
rnacentral:rRNA from 1 species